rnacentral:snRNA from 1 species
CGGGUGCACCGCCGACCG